UCCUGGCUCAAAUUGAACGCUGGCGGCAUGCCUUACACAUGCAAGUCGAACGGCAGCACGGAGCUUGCUCUGGUGGCGAGUGGCGAACGGGUGAGUAAUAUAUCGGAACGUACCCUGGAGUGGGGGAUAACGUAGCGAAAGUUACGCUAAUACCGCAUACGAUCUAAGGAUGAAAGUGGGGGAUUCGCAAGAACCUCAUGCUCCUGGAGCGGCCGAUAUCUGAUUAGCUAGUUGGU
rnacentral:rRNA from 1 species